CACUGAUGGCGACCGGCAAACGGGUGGCGGAACACGUACAGACCUUCCUUCGAGCGGGGAAUAGCCAGAGAAAUUUGGAUUAAUACCCCAUAGUAUAGCGGAGAGGCAUCUCUCUGUUAUUAAAGAUUUAUCACUUGAAGAUGGCUGUGCGGCUGAUUAGGUAGUUGGCGGGGUAACGGCCCACCAAGCCUGUGAUCAGUAACUGGUGUGAGAGCACGACCAGUCACACGGGCACUGAGACACGGGCCCGACUCCUACGGGAGGCAGCAGUAAGGAAUAUUGGUCAAUGGACGAAAGUCUGAACCAGCCAUGCCGCGUGGAGGAUGAAGGUCCUCUGGAUUGUAAACUUCUUUUAUAUGGGACGAAAAAAGGUCUUUCUAGAUCGUCUGACGGUACCAUAUGAAUAAGCACCGGCUAACUCCGUG
rnacentral:rRNA from 1 species